rnacentral:rRNA from 1 species
UUCGCAAUGCCCGAAAGGGUGACGAAGCGACGCCGCGUGUGGGAAGAAGGCCUUCGGGUUGUAAACCACUGUUGGGAGUUAGGAAGUGUGGGGGUGUUAAUAGCGCCUUCACUUGACUAAAGCUCCAGAGGAAGCCACGGCUAACUCUGUGCCAGCAGCCGCGGUAAUACAGAGGCGGCAAGCGUUGUUCGGAAUUAUUGGGCGUAAAGAGCACGUAGGCGGCUCUGUAAGUCAGCUGUGAAAGCCUUCUGCUUAACGGAAGAACAGCAGCUGAAACUACAGUGCUUGAGUGCGGGAGGGGAGAGUGGAACUUCUGGUGGAGCGGUGAAAUGCGUAGAUAUCAGAAGGAACGCCGGCGGCGAAAGCGGCUCUCUGGCCCGUAACUGACGCUGAGUGUGCGAAAGCUAGGGGAGCAAACGGGAUUAGAUACCCCGGUAGUCCUAGCCGUAAACGAUGGGCACUAAGUAGAGGGGUUUU